AAGUCGUAACAAGGUUUACUCCUACAGUCUAGAGUUUAACACUUCAUGUAUUAUACCCCCUGACGGAAGCCUUGAACUUAAGUCUGCAAUUAUGUUUUGUGGGCAACACCAGCCUGUUGCUAGGAUCUCCAUUAGGGGUUACUAGCAGUCGUAUUAAUGCGAUUCACAGAUCAAAUACUGGUGGUUCACUUUUACACGGUCUUCGGACCUAGAUUGGAUGUGAAUUAUAACAUGACCGGUCCAUUUUCUUAGAUGAAAGUGAGAACAAAUGUUCCGUAGGUGAACCUGCGGAAGGAUCAU
rnacentral:misc_RNA from 1 species